rnacentral:rRNA from 1 species
CCAAUGGAGAGUUUGAUCCUGGCUCAGGACGAACGCUGGCGGCGCGCCUAACACAUGCAAGUCGAGGGAGAACCGGACCUUCGGGUCCGGGGAGACCGGCGAACGGGUGAGUAACACGUGAGGAACCUGCCCUGUAGACCGGAAUAACCACGGGAAACCGUGGCUAAUGCCGGAUACGCUCCUUGGCCCGCAUGGGCCGGGGAGGAAAAGGUCUGCCGCUACAGGAUGGCCUCGCGGCCUAUCAGCUUGUUGGUGGGGUAACGGCCCACCAAGGCGACGACGGGUAGCUGGCGUGAGAGCGCGACCAGCCACACUGGGACUGAGACACGGCCCAGACUCCUACGGGAG